rnacentral:rRNA from 1 species
UCAUCCGGUCGAUCCUGCCGGAGCAAGACGCUCUCCUCAAGGACAAAGCCAUGCAUGCCGGCACACCACGGCGGACGGCUCAGGACAACGGUUGGAAGCCGAGCGGCGGUCACAGCUAGCCGGACACCGCUGGCAACCCGGCGCCAAGACGUGUGCGCAAGUGCGAGAGCCCGGGGGCGAGCAGCGUGACGGAGCGACGGCCCGCAGGCCCUUCCGGGGCAUCAUCUGGUCGGCAGGGUCAGGGCCUACCGAGGAGACGACGCCUGGCGGAGAAUCAGGGUUCGAU